rnacentral:rRNA from 1 species
UUGUUGGUGAGGUAGUGGCUCACCAGGCGACGACGGGUAGCCGGCCUGAGAGGGCGACCGGCCACACUGGGACUGAGACACGGCCCAGACUCCUACGGGAGGCAGCAGUGGGGAAUAUUGCACAAUGGGCGAAAGCCUGAUGCAGCGACGCCGCGUGAGGGAUGACGGCCUUCGGGUUGUAAACCUCUUUCAGCAGGGAAGAAGCGAAAGUGACGGUACCUGCAGAAGAAGCGCCGGCUAACUACGUGCCAGCAGCCGCGGUAAUACGUAGGGCGCAAGCGUUGUCCGGAAUUAUUGGGCGUAAAGAGCUCGUAGGCGGCUUGUCACGUCGGUUGUGAAAGCCCGGGGCUUAACCCCGGGUCUGCAGUCGAUACGGGCAGGCUAGAGUUCGGUAGGGGAGAUCGGAAUUCCUGGUGUAGCGGUGAAAUGCGCAGAUAUCAGGAGGAACACCGGUGGCGAAGGCGGAUCUCUGGGCCGAUACUGACGCUGAGGAGCGAAAGCGUGGGGAGCGAACAGGAUUAGAUACCCUGGUAGUCCACGCCGUAAACGGUGGGCACUAGGUGUGGGCAACAUUCCACGUUGU